rnacentral:tRNA from 1 species
GGGACUGUGGCUUAGUGGUAGAGUGCUUGCCUAGCAGGCAUGAGGCCCUGGGUUCAAUUCCUCAGUACCA